rnacentral:rRNA from 1 species
UACGUAGGCAGCAAGCGUUGUUCGGAAUUACUGGGCGUAAAGAGUGUGUAGGCGGUGCUCUAAGUUCGGUGUGAAAUCUCCCGGCUCAACUGGGAGGGUGCGCCGGAAACUGGAGUGCUGGAGCGCGGGAGAGGAAAGCGGAAUUCCUGGUGUAGCGGUGAAAUGCGUAGAGAUCGGGAGGAACAUCAGUGGCGAAGGCGGCCAUCUGGGACAACACUGACGCUGAAGCACGAAAGCGUGGGGAGCAAACAGG